rnacentral:rRNA from 1 species
UACGAAGGGGGCUAGCGUUGUUCGGAUUUACUGGGCGUAAAGGGCGCGUAGGCGGAUUUUUAAGUCAGGGGUGAAAUCCCAAGGCUCAACCUUGGAACUGCCUUUGAUACUGGGGAUCUCGAGUUCGGGAGAGGUGAGUGGAACUGCGAGUGUAGAGGUGAAAUUCGUAGAUAUUCGCAAGAACACCAGUGGCGAAGGCGGCUCACUGGCCCGAUACUGACGCUGAGGUGCGAAAGCGUGGGGAGCAAACAGG